ensembl:lncRNA
UUUUGCCUGUGUUCCUAACAGCUGAGAACCUUCAGCUGUGCCAAUUUCUCAGUUGCAGAGGCAGAGAGGAAGAAAGGUUGCUGGUUUGUUCCAGUCUACAGCUGAGAGAGGCUUUCCCACUCAAUCUCUUCUUUUAUGCCAUUUCUUGGAUUUGCAGUCACCUUUGACAUACUAUUGCCACAUUUUAUUAAAGAAAAUAUAUCAGAGUUCUGGAUGAGUCAUUUUCUGCGGAGGAAAGCUGGAUUUAUGGUUUUGAAGAUCCAGCUUUGAACAGGCAGAAGUAUUUUCUUAUUAAUUCAGCCUGAUGAAAGUGAUUGGUGUGCAGAAGCUUAACUAAGGGUGAGGAAGAUAAGUGUGGGGCUGAAUCCUACAUCUGGAUCACUGUACUUUGGGACUGCCACUCCCCCAGCUCUUGUUGUUUCCAAAAUGAGACAGGAUGAAAUAAAAGAAGAUUUUUCACUUUGUUCCUGUGUAGAAUUUCCACUGAUGGUCCCUGUCCCUGAGAGCAGGAAGUGAUGUCGAAGAGCAAGGAGUAUGUCUUGCUGUUCAUUUUUGUGGCCACCGGGUGUCAUUCUAGGAGCAGACUUUGACCAGCCUGGAUGCAUUACUAUGGCAGCAAGCGCUGGAGGCCUUACAGAUCAAGUUGCUUUGCACGGAAUCAGCUUCAAAAGUAAUGAUUAUUCAUCUUUUGUAUCUGUUUCCUUUAAAAAUUAUUCUAAGGGAUAAACAGUGUUGUUGCUUUCCUUUUCUACCUGUAGAGUGUCAUCAUGUACUGAGAUGUAGCAUAAAACAGUGAGGCAGCUAAAGGUAUUUAUGUUCAGAUGUUCUGUAAGUGCUGUAUGUGCAUCGGGGGAAGCUUCUGCAUCUACGUGUCAUAGUUUGCAUACGUUCAGCACUUCUGAAGAUGUUAAUAGCUGCUUUCAAAGUGACUUUAUUGGAGGCUGUUUUGAAUUUGUUUGUAACUGACACUGCAUAAUGGAGGCGCAAAAAGAACAGGUGCAGAACAGUCUCUAGGCAGAAUUAAGUAAUUGAUUUCCAGUUUUCUCCCAACUCACACUGGGCAAAAGACAUCUCCAGAAAAGGUCCACAACACCUGUAUAGGCUUAAGUUGGUGUUACAACAAAGAAAGUUUGCUGAACUAGACAGUACUAGAAAUAUCCUGCUGGUUUUGUUUCAAAUAAUUCUUAGGAUGAGUUUAUGUGGGAGAAUGAGCCAAUGCAUGCACUGGAUAUCUUUAGGAAGAGAAAUAAUUGCAUGAAAAAGCAUGUGAAGAAAAGGAGAUGAAAGGUUUGAUGAAGGGAAGCAAGGUACAUGAUACAUAAGGCAAAGAGGACAGAUUUUGGUAGGGCAGAGAUUUCUGGAUCUUUGAAAGUGAGGAUGUGAAGCUUGAACUGAAAAGCAGAGGGACUCUGGAGGGAAACAGAGAUGCAAGUAGGGAGUUGAAAUACUGGAGAGCAUUUCCAGCACACUGAAGUGUGAGAGAAAAAAAGGGAUUUUGUCUUGUAUGCUUAUCUGCAGCUCAGCAUAUUUGCUUCUUUAAGUGAUUAAAAUACCACUAAGUAGAAAGCAUCAUAUAUUUAAAUUCAUAUAAAUUAUUCUGGAGACCCAUGUAGAAUACUACUAAAUUGCUGGGAACUUACUCAAGAGUGCUGAGGAGUGGCUGAUAGCAAAGCUUCACAAGUUACAAAUACCAGUAUCUAAGUUGCUCUUGGAAUUCUUGUCCCAUGUCACUUGUGAUUGUGGUGUUUUCAAAGUAAAACGAAAUGCAUGCACCUUAGCUAACAUUUAGUUCCCAUUCAUUUUGCCUGUCGCUUAACUAUCAACCAAAAGAUUUGGAGUUUAGAUUUAAAAUACAGAUUACAUAUUUAGCACUGUUCUUAGAUGGAACACAAAGUCCAGUCAGCUCAGUCAUGUGCUAAAACUGUCCAGGACAGAUAUGUUCUGAGUAAUAGAGAGAUUUGUCUCUUCCAUGAAAGCUGAUGCUCCUCCUGCCAUCUCAGAGCUGGAAUACUGUUUUCCAAUCCACAGUUCUCAAGUGAAGACUGUUCAUUAACAAGAUGGGUUGCAAAAGCUGGCAGUGCAAAUAAUGAAGAAAUCCUUUAUGGUUCUUGUUUUCUGUGCUUUUGAUCAGUCUAAGCCUGACUUGCUCUUAACUUGAGAAUCUUUUUUUUUUUCCUUUUUUUCCUGUGUAUGAGAAUUCUGUUGUGAAUGUCAUGCUUGCAAUUAAAAAGAUUUAAAGAUUUU